rnacentral:rRNA from 1 species
UACAGAGGGUGCGAGCGUGUUCGGAAUUAUUGGGCGUAAAGCGCUUGUAGGCGGCUUGUUAAGUUCCGUGUGAAAUCCCCCAGGCUUAACCUGGGAAGUGCGCGGAAAACUGGCGAGCUUGAGUGCCGGAGAGGGUCGCGGAAUUCCCGGUGUAGAGGUGAAAUUCGUAGAUAUCGGGAGGAACACCAGUGGCGAAGGCGGCGACCUGGACGGACACUGACGCUGAG